rnacentral:rRNA from 1 species
UGCAGUCGAGCGGACAGAAGGGAGCUUGCUCCCGGAUGUUAGCGGCGGACGGGUGAGUAACACGUGGGUAACCUGCCUGUAAGACUGGGAUAACUCCGGGAAACCGGAGCUAAUACCGGAUAGUUCCUUGAACCGCAUGGUUCAAGGAUGAAAGACGGUUUCGGCUGUCACUUACAGAUGGACCCGCGGCGCAUUAGCUAGUUGGUGGGGUAAUGGCUCACCAAGGCGACGAUGCGUAGCCGACCUGAGAGGGUGAUCGGCCACACUGGGACUGAGACACGGCCCAGACUCCUACGGGAGGCAGCAGUAGGGAAUCUUCCGCAAUGGACGAAAGUCUGACGGAGCAACGCCGCGUGAGUGAUGAAGGUUUUCGGAUCGUAAAGCUCUGUUGUUAGGGAAGAACAAGUGCGAGAGUAACUGCUCGCACCUUGACGGUACCUAACCAGAAAGCCACGGCUAACUACGUGCCAGCAGCCGCGGUAAUACGUAGGUGGCAAGCGUUGUCCGGAAUUAUUGGGCGUAAAGGGCUCGCAGGCGGUUUCUUAAGUCUGAUGUGAAAGCCCCCGGCUCAACCGGGGAGGGUCAUUGGAAACUGGGAAACUUGAGUGCAGAAGAGGAGAGUGGAAUUCCACGUGUAGCGGUGAAAUGCGUAGAGAUGUGGAGGAACACCAGUGGCGAAGGCGACUCUCUGGUCUGUAACUGACGCUGAGGAGCGAAAGCGUGGGGAGCGAACAGGAUUAGAUACCCUGGUAGUCCACGCCGUAAACGAUGAGUGCUAAGUGUUUAGGGGGUUUCCGCCCCUUAGUGCUGCAGCUAACGCAUUAAGCACUCCGCCUGGGGAGUACGGUCGCAAGACUGAAACUCAAAGGAAUUGACGGGGGCCCGCACAAGCGGUGGAGCAUGUGGUUUAAUU